rnacentral:tRNA from 1 species
UGUCCCUGUAGCGCAAUGGAUAGCGCGUUGGACUGCUAAUCUAAAGGUCGCGGGUUUGAGUCCCGCCUGGAUGG